rnacentral:rRNA from 1 species
GAUGAACGCUGGCGGCGUGCCUAAUACAUGCAAGUCGAGCGAACAGACGAGGAGCUUGCUCCUCUGACGUUAGCGGCGGACGGGUGAGUAACACGUGGAUAACCUACCUAUAAGACUGGGAUAACUUCGGGAAACCGGAGCUAAUACCGGAUAAUAUAUUGAACCGCAUGGUUCAAUAGUGAAAGACGGUUUUGCUGUCACUUAUAGAUGGAUCCGCGCCGCAUUAGCUAGUUGGUAAGGUAACGGCUUACCAAGGCAACGAUGCGUAGCCGACCUGAGAGGGUGAUCGGCCACACUGGAACUGAGACCCGGUCCAGACUCCUACGGGAGGCAGCAGUAGGGAAUCUUCCGCAAUGGGCGAAAGCCUGACGGCGCAACGCCGCGUGAGUGAUGAAGGUCUUCGGAUCGUAAAACUCUGUUAUUAGGGAAGAACAAAUGUGUAAGUAACUAUGCACGUCUUGACGGUACCUAAUCAGAAAGCCACGGCUAACUACGUG